rnacentral:rRNA from 1 species
AUUGAACGCUGGCGGCAGGCCUAACACAUGCAAGUCGAACGAGUGGCGGACGGGUGAGUAAUGUCUGGGAAACUGCCCGAUGGAGGGGGAUAACUACUGGAAACGGUAUCUAAUACCGCAUACCAUCGGAUUUGCCCAGAUGGGAUUCGCUAGUAGGUGGGGUAAAGGCUCACCUAGGCGACGAUCCCUCGCUGGUCUGAGAGGAGGACCAGCAACACUGGAACUGAGAAACGGUCCAGACUCCUACGGGAGGAAGAAGUGGGGAAUAUUGCACAAUGGGCGCAAGCCUGAGACAGACAUGCCGCGUGUAUGAAGAAGGCCUUCGGGUUGUAAAGUACGUUCAGCGGGGAGGCGGUACCCAAAGAAGAAGCACCGGCUAACUCCGUGCCAGCAGCCGCGGUAAUUC